AGAGUUUGAUCCUGGCUCAGGAUGAACGCUAGCGAGAUGCUUUACACAUGCAAGUCAUACGAGAAUCUUUGAUUCAAGUGGCGGACGGGUGAGUAACACGUAAGAAUUUGCCUUUAGGAGGGGGACAACAACUGGAAACGGUUGCUAAUACCCCAUAUGCUUUCGAGUGAAAUGGAUUAUAUCCGCCUAGAGAGAAGCUUGCGGCUGAUUAGCUUGUUGGUGAGGUAAUGGCUCACCAAGGCGACGAUCAGUAUCUGGUUUGAGAGGACGAUCAGACACACUGGAACUGAGACACGGUCCAGACUCCUACGGGAGGCAGCAGUGGGGAAUCUUCCGCAAUGGGCGAAAGCCUGACGGAGCAAUCUCGCGUGAGGGAUGACUGCCUAUGGGUUGUAAACCUCUUUUUUCAGGGAGGAAUAAAUGACGUUACCUGAAGAAUAAGCAUCGGCUAACUCCGUGCCAGCAGCCGCGGUAAUACGGAGGAUGCAAGUGUUAUCCGGAAUCACUGGGCGUAAAGCGUCUGUAGGUGGUUUAAUAAGUCAACUGUUAAAUCUUGAGGCUCAACCUCAAAAUCGCAGUCGAAACUAUUAGACUAGAGUAUAGUAGGGGUAAAGGGAAUUUCCAGUGGAGCGGUGAAAUGCGUAGAGAUUGGAAAGAACACCGAUGGCGAAGGCACUUUACUGGGCUAUUACUGACACUCAGAGACGAAAGCUAGGGUAGCAAAUGGGAUUAGAUACCCC
rnacentral:rRNA from 1 species